rnacentral:lncRNA from 1 species
GAAUAUUUGUUACAUUUAUUACUUAGCACUCUGAAGAUGUUGAGGGAAACAAUUUUCUCAAAUGCUUGAAUGUAUUAAAAACACAUUUCUGAAACAGAAGGAUCGCUGUACACACAGUGUUCAAUGUAAAGUCUGAAAUACGUUUUGCAGACACAUGCCACAUUUUACUGUUUCUUUCAUAAUGCUAAUUAAAUUUCCUACUUGGAGUCUCAGAACCUAAAAAAUGAAGUUCUUCAUUGAAAUCUGAGUCAAGGGCACCAUUCUGUGCAUAAUUAAGCAGAGUACAACGGGAAUUUGCAUUAAUUCAGAGUGAGAAAAAUCAUCAAUUUAUUAUGAGGCCUGAUGGCAACUGAACAAUUUUCUACAGCACUUUAAUGAUUUCUGUGUCUGUAACAGUCACAUUCAUUAAGCAUAUUAAGCUUUAAUUAGCUUCAGCAGAUUCUGCUCUUCUUCCAGGUCACGUGCGGCCACCCGGGCUGCUGAGGGCGCCUCAGCCAGGAUGCAUCCUCUGCUUUCGAGUCUGAGUCCGCCGCCCCGCCAGCAGGCACCCUGAGCCAACCGGAGCACAUGCCUCACAGCGCUUUCCCCAGAUCGGAGUCUAAGGAUGAUGUCAGAAGCGCCGGAAAACGCUUGAAUUAACCUCACACUGAAAAAACCCCUGAAAUAGGACGACUAUUUC